AACGCACAUUGCGCCCCUUGGUAUUCCGAGGGGCAUGCCUGUUCGAGCGUCAUUACAACCCUCAAGCAUAGCUUGGUCUUGGGCUCCGCUGCUAACCCAGCGGGCCUUAAAAUCAGUGGCGGUGCCACGAGGCCCUGAGCGUAGUAAAUAUCCUCGCUAUAGGUGUCUUGCGGUAGCCUGCCAGCAACCCCCAACUUUCUAAGUUUGACCUCGGAUCAGGUAGGGAUACCCGCUGAACUUAA
rnacentral:misc_RNA from 1 species